UGACAGAUAAUCUCCUGCAAGAAUUACAGUAUGUCACUUAAGUGAGUACACCCUUCACAUUCCAGCAAAUAUUUUAGUAUAUCUUCUCAAGGGACAAUACUAUAGAAAUUAAAUUUCGAUUUCAUUUUCCAUAAUCUUUUGACAUGAUUCGUGAUGAUGCACCUAUGUUUAUAUGACCCCGCCUUAAUGCAAUUGACAGGGUGGGGUCAUGGUGGACUCAGAAUUCAUUUUCAAUAGAAUUUUGCUACAUCCAUCGCACGCUUAUGAAAAUGCAAUCCCAAGUGCCCAACCGUUAAACGUAAUUGUAUAGAAAAAAAAUUAAGCGAUCAUUUUGCUACAGCUUUUGCUUGACUAUGUGUAACACAUAUAAUCAGUUCGGGUACAUUUCCAUUUUAAUUUUGCAAUUUCUAAAGCAUUAAAAACUGUAUUUAAAAAGGCUGUACCAGGAAAUGACAAAUGUCAAUUAAAUUAUAAAAUUUUCAUUUUGCGCAAAACAAAAGACGUCACAUUAAGAUGUCACAUUUCCUACUUUUGCAUAUCGUAAAACUGAAACUGCCUCAGUGGUAAAGAGUCCUGCAUGACUAUGGUUUCAGUUAUUUCACAGUGGGCUUAGGUGUGCUAUCUGUGUGAUGGGGGUUUUACAGCAUUCAUAUGUACAACUUCUAAAUAUACUUUUAUUAGCUGUAUUGGAACUUAAAGCUGAGACACAGACACCCUGCAAACACCUUAAUGCUGGCAUCAUCAACUCUGCACAGGGUGAUAAUGUAUCUAUUUAUUGCAAUACCACAACCCUUCACUCAAAUAGCUUUAGCGUAAAACUACGCAGAACCAACCCAGAUGAAGUCGUCCUACAGUAUCCAAAUCCAGCAUCACAGCUUCACAGAUGGUCUGUAAGAACUGAUGCUGGACAUGUUAUACUUGAUCUUCAAAAUAUCACUUUACGUGAUUCUGGCCAAUACCAAUGUGAGGUGCACAGGGGUUUAGAGUGUACUACAACUAAACUGUCACUGAGGGUCAAAGGUAAAGCUACAUUGUGUAUAUUUCUACCUAUACAGUAUUUAACAUACAUAGACAUCUUGUUGUGUGGAUUUAGCCACUUUAAGUUUUUUGGUUUCAGAGUGUAAAGUCCUGGACCCAAUUGGGACAACUGAAAAGUCUACAGUUACGCUACCCUGCCCUGAACAUCUAAACGUUGUGUGGGAAGUCAUUCAUGGUGAUCAAUCAACAGAUGUAAACGAACAUUCAUGCGAGCACUCAGACAGCAGAAACGGUGUACCGAAGCCUCUGUGUGAGAGACAAAUAAUGAAGAAUGGAUCUCUCAUCAUACGUGAUGUGGUAAACACUGAUGCACAGUGGUAUCGGUGCAGAGUGAAUAAAAUGAGCUGCUAUGACGUAAGGCUGUACGUUAAAGAUCAUGAGACAUCUGAUUCAACAACUGCUCUGAAAACAUUUUCCACAGCAGUGCAAGUCACAGCCUCCACUGUUAGUGUUGCUGGCCAUAGUGAGGGCGACGGGAGCUCGACUGCAGCAGUCUCUGAAGUAUAUCUGUGUGUCAUUAAACCUUGAUCAUGUUUGGGAUUCUGUAUCUGAAAAAACAAACGAGCGAAACAAGCAGGCAAAGUAAGAUUACAACUGAUGCCCUUUGUAAACUGCAGAGAAAAUAUUUGUUUAUUUAUAUUUUAUUCUAUUGUGUUUUGUUCAAUAGUACU